CAGCCGCCACGGGAAUACGUAGGUGGCAAGCGUUGUCCGGAAUUAUUGGGCGUAAAGGGCUCGCAGGCGGUUUCUUAAGUCUGAUGUGAAAGCCCCCGGCUCAACCGGGGAGGGUCAUUGGAAACUGGGGAACUUGAGUGCAGAAGAGGAGAGUGGAAUUCCACGUGUAGCGGUGAAAUGCGUAGAGAUGUGGAGGAACACCAGUGACGAAGGCGACUCUCUGGUCUGUAACUGACGCUGAGGAGCGAAAGCGUGGGGAGCGAACAGGAUUAGAUACCCCCGUAGUCCCUGUCUCUUAUAC
rnacentral:rRNA from 1 species